UCCGCAGUAGCACAACGGCAAUUUCAACUUCUUGAAAUCCAGGUUCAAAUCCUGGCUGCGGAA
rnacentral:tRNA from 1 species